rnacentral:lncRNA from 1 species
UUACUUACACAAUAUAUAUACAAGGGAAAAUUUCAUCACUACCCUUCUAAAUAAGUCUAAUAUCAUGAAUGCCCCUAUAAAAAUUGAAAUAUCAUAAAUAACCUUUUAAAAGAGAGAAACUUUCAAAAAUAACUUUCACACUAAUUUAUUAUCAAUUUUGAAUAAACAACAAACAAAAUUCUAACUUUGCCCUUAUUGUCAUUACCAUCUUAAAAUAUUUAAUUGACUAUAAAAUCAUUUAUAAUUUUAUAAACACUCUUUUAAAUUUAUAAAUAACCUACAUUUAGAAAUAAGUUUAUUCUCAAUUAAAAAUAUAUAUAUAAUCUUGACAAGUUAUGCUAAAAAAUAAAAAAAUUAAAAAAUUUAACAAAAAAUUGUUUAAAGUAUCAAUUGACUCCUUUAAAUUAGGUUAAACAGUUUAUUCAAAAUAUAACUUAAAUAUAUAUAUAUAUAUGAUGUGAAUUAAGUUAUUUGAACUAGCACAAAUUUCUGUGCUUUGGCAUCUCGAAUUUUAAAAUAAAUGAUAUAAAAUAUCUUAUUUUAUAAACUAUACAGCAGUAAAAUGAUAUAUUUUACUGUUUAUUUUAAUAUUUUAAAAUAAAUAUAUCAUGCUAAAAUACUUUUGUAAAAAAAUUUAGAAGUUAAGGGCAAAAUGGACAUUUCAACCAUAUUUAUGAUAAUCUAAAUAUUUUAUCAUUCUAUAAAGAGAUGAAUAGUAAGGGUAAGGAUAUGUUUGAAAAAUAAUAAGUAUUUGUAGGGGUAAUUGUGAUGUAAUAAAAUUUAUAGGGGCAUCUAUGAUGUUUUCGAAGUUUAGAGGGGCACUAAUGAAAUUGACCCUAUAUACAAUUAAUUUGAGAUGUGAUCUGUGAGAUCCCAGAUAGUCCUAUAUAUGAGAUAUAAUAGAGCUAAACUCUUAACCCAGUUUAAGCAUUUUGGGUGGUGGCAAGGCCCAAGAGGUUAAGAGAGUUAAGCGUGCUAGGACGGGAGUAGUCCUGGAAUUGGUGACCCCCUCGGAAGUUGGGGCGUCACAGAUGGUAUCAGAGUCAAUUACCAGCCGGAAGUGUGAGAUGAGUCUCGGCUGAGUCAGGGUCUGGAUGACGGGCUAGCGAGAUAAGUCUCACAUCGCCUGGUACUUGUGAGUCUUAGGCCUGACGAGGACGUCAGGGCUUAAAGGAGGGGAGAUUGUGAGACCCCAGAUAGUCCUAUAUAUGAGAUAUAAUAAGGCUAAACUCUUAAUCCGGCUUAAGCAUUUUGGGUGAUGGCAAGGCCCAAGAGGUUAAGAGAGUUAAGCGUGCUAGGACGGGAGUAGUCCUAGGAUGGGUGACCCCCUGGAAAGUUGGGGCGUCACAUGAUCUCUGUGUUGUAGCUGUCUAAAAAAAAAAAAAAAAGACUUUUCAUUCUUGAGCAAUAUAGUUUGGAAAUCAUUCUAGCCUGAAAAAGGUGUAUCUAUGUGCCUACAAGAAAGUUCCCCUCAUAAA